rnacentral:misc_RNA from 1 species
CGCAUCAAUAAAAACGCAAAGAAUGAUU